AGAGUUUGAUCCUGGCUCAGAACGAACGCUGGCGGCAGGCCUAACACAUGCAAGUCGAAGGAGAAGCCGGGCUUCGGCCCGGUGGAAACUGGCGCACGGGUGAGUAACGCGUGGGUAUCUACCUCGGGGUGUGGAAUAACCGCUGGAAACGGCGGCUAAUACCGCAUACGCCUUCAGAGGGAAAGCUCCGGCGCCCUGAGAGGAGCCCGCGUUGGAUUAGCUUGUUGGUGGGGUAACGGCCUACCAAGGCUACGAUCUAUAGCUGGUCUGAGAGGAUGAUCAGCCACACUGGGACUGAGACACGGCCCAGACUCCUACGGGAGGCAGCAGUGGGGAAUAUUGCGCAAUGGGGGAAACCCUGACGCAGCCAUGCCGCGUGUGUGAAGAAGGCUCUAGGGUUGUAAAGCACUUUCAAUGGGGAGGAAAUGGCCAGGGCUAAUACCCCUGGUAGCUGACGUUACCCAUAGAAGAAGCACCGGCUAACUCCGUGCCAGCAGCCGCGGUAAUACGGAGGGUGCGAGCGUUAAUCGGAAUUAUUGGGCGUAAAGGGCGCGUA
rnacentral:rRNA from 1 species